CCUACGGGAGGCAGCAGUGAGGAAUUUUCCGCAAUGGGCGAAAGCCUGACGGAGCAAUACCGCGUGAAGGAUUAAGGCCUAUGGGUUGUAAACUUCUUUUUUCAGAGAAGAAUUUUGACGGUAUCUGAAGAAUAAGCAUCGGCUAACUCUGUGCCAGCAGCCGCGGUAAGACAGAGGAUGCAAGCGUUAUCCGGAUUAAUUGGGCGUAAAGCGUCUGUAGGUGGUUUAUCAAGUUUUUUGUCAAAGAUCGGGGCCUAACCCCGGGCAGGCAGAGAAAACUAAUAGACUUGAGUUCGGUAGGGGCAGAGGGAAUUCCCGGUGGAGCGGUGAAAUGCGUAGAGAUCGGGAGGAACACCAAAGGCGAAGGCACUCUGCUGGGCCGCAACUGACACUGAGAGACGAAAGCGAGGGUAGCAAAUGGGAUUAGAUACCCCAGUAGUCCUCGCCGUAAACGAUGGAUACUAGGUGUUGGAUGAGUUCAAUCAUUCAGUACCGUAGCUAACGCGUGAAGUAUCCCGCCUGGGGAGUACGCUCGCAAGAGUGAAACUCAAAGGAAUUGACGG
rnacentral:rRNA from 1 species